GCAAGUCGAACGGUAACAUGGCAGAGCUUGCUCUUUUGCUGACGAGUGGCGCACGGGUGCGUAACAAGUAUACAAUCUACCUUUUACAGGGGGAUAGCCUUUAGAAAUGUAGAUUAAUACCCCAUAGUAAGUACCUAUGGCAUCAUGGGAACUUUAAAAUUUCGGUGGUAAAAGAUGAGUAUGCGUUCUAUUAGCUAGAUGGUGUGGUAACGGCACACCAUGGCGACGAUAGAUAGGGGCCCUGAGAGGGGGAUC
rnacentral:rRNA from 1 species